CUGGUCCAGAGUGCCACUGCCCGAUGUGAGCAUGGGCAGCAGGCGGGCGGGCGUCGCUGCUGCCCGCACCACCAGCAGUGCCCCGAGCAGCAGUGUCCAGCGGAGCUGGGCCCCGUGAGCCAUGCGCAGGGCCUGCACUCAGUUUGGGACGAGGUGGUGUCCGGUGGCUGCGAGCAGAGAGCUGCUGGGGACAGACUGAGGCUGAGUGGAUGGGCCUGGCAGGGCUGCUCAGGUCUCAGGAGGGCCUCGCCUCUUGACACCUUGGUCAGCCAGGGACACAGGUGCCAUCACACAUGCCCCUUGCCAUGCCAGCUCAGCCAAACCCUGGCCCCAGGCCCUGAGGUGAGGCGUGGCACUGAGGAUCUCAGCUCCUGCCUGGGAAGCAGAUACCAAAUGUCCUGGGCUCUGGGCCUUCUCCAAACGGUGCGUACACACACGGAGACGCGCGUGCCAUGUACACGCAUGUACGGGCAACGCACAGUGGCCCUUCGGUCAGUAACACAGGCAACCUGACAUGCAGAGAUCCACGGGGAACUGCUGGGCAAAGGUGGGGCAAGAUGCCAGGACCUGGCAGUUGAUCGGUGAGCAGAGGGAAGCCCCCCCCUCCCCAGAAAGGCCAGUGUCCAGUGCUGGUCAGCUGGUGUGACCCUCCCACUUUGCUCCCCUCCCCUGGGCAUGCCUCCUUUUGUCACCCACCCCUCCUCUGCACUUUGAGCUCCGCCGCACCUCCCACCUCACCUCUCUGGCAGCCUCCCAUCACCUUUCCAGGCCAGGAAGACCAGGUCACCUCAGUCCCUGGCCCCCUUCCAGCUCCUCCUCAGGCCCACUCUGCGGUGGUCCUCCUGCAGCCCCUGCAGGGCUUUCCCUCCCUCAUCAGCCCCGUCUUGCCCGCCCCACCCAUUUUCUUGCCCAGCCCUGCAGGCCCUGGGACCCACGGACAGCCUGACAACUGCACCUCACACCAGCUCUCUCUCUACAUCCAGCCUGUCUAGCCAGCAGCUGGACAGCGGCCUAUGACCUGCAGGCCCUCACCUUUACCCAGGUGCUGUGCAUGUCAACACUCCCUCCAUGCCCCACCUCCACCCCACCAGCAGCCUCUGGAUGGACCUGUCAAUCCCUUCCUGUCUCAAGUGGCUUCCCAAGGGACACCUGCUGAGGAAGCUACACACUGCCCACCUGCCUGCCGGACCCCAGUGGCUAGACCGAGAAAGAAAAACACUUUGGUGUGAACACA